rnacentral:rRNA from 1 species
CAGUCUCUUCCCUCGUCCGCCUGUUAACGGUGACCGAGAUUGAGUUCUCGGCACCGGGCUCAGGCACUUUGAUAUUAUUUACCCUUUUUUGUAAAUAUGUUACUCAAUGUUACAGGAUACUAAUCAUGUACUCUUGAGUCAACUUACUUAUUCUUUUUGAGCAAAUUAUAGUGUUUCAGGCAGGCGUGCGCCGGAAUACAUUAGCAUGGAAUAAUCUUACGGACCGUGUGUGCUGCGUCAAAAACAGCAUUUCCUUAUUUGUUGGUUUCUUUAAGGACACGGAAUGAUUAAUAGGGAUAGUUGAGUUCUUAUAUCUCACCAGGGGAGGCAUUAGUAUUUAAUUUCCAGAGGUGAAAUUCUUUGAAAUUUGUAAAGACUAACUUAUGCGAAAGCAUUUUUCUUUUCUUUUACUGCCAAGAAUGUUUUUAUUUUAUUUGUUUAUCGAACAGAACGAAAGUUAGGGGAUCAAAGACGAUCAGAUACCGUCCUAGUCUUAACCAUAAACGUUGCCGACUAGGGAUCGGAGGGCGUGCACAUUCCGCCUUCGGCACCUUACGAGAAAUCAUAAGUAUUUUGGGUUCUGGGGGUAGUAUGGUCGCAAGGCUGAAACUUAAAGGAAUUGACGGAAGGGCACCACCAGGAGUGGAGCUUGCGGCUCAAUUUGACUCAAC